CUAGCUGUAAACGAUGGAUACUAGGCGUUGAGAGUAUCGACCCUCUCAGUGUCGUAGCUAACGCGUUAAGUAUCCCGCCUGGGGAGUACGCGCGCAAGCGUGAAACUCAAAGGAAUUGACGGGGGCCCGCACAAGCGGUGGAGUAUGUGGUUUAAUUCGAUGCAACGCGAAGAACCUUACCAGGGCUUGACAUAGUCCGGAACCCUGCCCAAAGGCGGGGGUGCCUACGGGAACCGGAACACAGGUGGUGC
rnacentral:rRNA from 1 species